AGUGAACGCUGGCGGUAGGCCUAACACAUGCAAGUCGAACGGCAGCACAGUAAGAGCUUGCUCUUACGGGUGGCGAGUGGCGGACGGGUGAGGAAUACAUCGGAAUCUACUUUUUCGUGGGGGAUAACGUAGGGAAACUUACGCUAAUACCGCAUACGACCUACGGGUGAAAGCAGGGGAUCUUCGGACCUUGCGCGAUUGAAUGAGCCGAUGUCGGAUUAGCUAGUUGGCGGGGUAAAGGCCCACCAAGGCGACGAUCCGUAGCUGGUCUGAGAGGAUGAUCAGCCACACCGGAACUGAGACACGGUCCAGACUCCUACGGGAGGCAGCAGUGGGGAAUAUUGGACAAUGGGCGCAAGCCUGAUCCAGCCAUACCGCGUGGGUGAAGAAGGCCUUCGGGUUGUAAAGCCCUUUGUUGGGAAAGAAAAGCAGCAGGUUAAUACCCCGCUGUUCUGACGGUACCCAAAGAAUAAGCACCGGCUAACUUCGUG
rnacentral:rRNA from 1 species